rnacentral:rRNA from 1 species
GGAGGAUCAAGCGUUAUCCGGAAUCAUUGGGUUUAAAGGGUCCGUAGGCGGUUUAGUAAGUCAGUGGUGAAAGCCCAUCGCUCAACGGUGGAACGGCCAUUGAUACUGCUAAACUUGAAUUAUUAGGAAGUAACUAGAAUAUGUAGUGUAGCGGUGAAAUGCUUAGAGAUUACAUGGAAUACCAAUUGCGAAGGCAGGUUACUACUAAUUGAUUGACGCUGAUGGACGAAAGCGUGGGUAGCGAACAGGAUUAGAUACCCUGGUAGUCCACGCCGUAAACGAUGGAUACUAGCUGUUGGGAGCAAUCUCAGUGGCUAAGCGAAAGUGAUAAGUAUCCCACCUGGGGAGUACGUUCGCAAGAAUG